rnacentral:rRNA from 1 species
CCUACGGGAGGCAGCAGUAAGGAAUAUUGGUCAAUGGAGGCAACUCUGAACCAGCCAUGCCGCGUGCAGGAAGAAGGCCUAUGGGUCGUAAACUGCUUUUGUACCAGAGAUAGUACGGUAAGAAUAAGCAUCGGCUAACUUCGUGCCAGCAGCCGCGGUAAGACGAAGGAUGCAAGCGUUAUCCGGAUUCAUUGGGUUUAAAGGGUGCGUAGGCGGACUUGUAAGUCAGUGGUGAAAUCUCUCAGCUUAACUGAGAAACUGCCAUUGAUACUGCAGGUCUAGAGUAUAGAUGACGUUGGCGGAAUAUGACAUGUAGUGGUGAAAUACUUAGAUAUGUCAUAGAACACCGAUUGCGAAGGCAGCUAACGAACUUAACUGACGCUGAGGCACGAAAGUGCGGGGAUCAAACAGGAUUAGAUACCCCUGUAGUC